rnacentral:lncRNA from 1 species
UCGUAACCGGAAGCUCCGUGGCUCAACAUGACAGCGUCCAGCGGUCCCACAGAGCCGGCUCGGGUCUGCGGCUGGCCACGUGAGUAGGUGGGUCGCGCGUGGGAGGUUUAUGGGACUGUCUGGGAUUCGGGGCGUCCACUUCCAGGCCUGGUAGAGCCGGGGAGGAUGACCUUCAACUCGGCCUCAGAGUCGGGACACUGUGACCUUUUGGGGUGCAGGCUUGGGAACGUGCCUGGAAAGGUUGCUGGGCACCUCUUGCUGCAGGCGGUCCGUUUCACAGAUGGGACCGCGGACUUGGGCCACACAUCUUGUCUGUGACGCAGGCAUUGGAACCUUCCAAUGAGACCUCUUAGAGACCCGGAAUCGUGCCAGCCCACACGCAUACACACACGCGACCUGGCUGUUCAGAUUUCUCUCUGUUUUGUAGAAACUUGCUUAGUUCCACUCCGUUGGUCGGUGUUGGGCAGUUACCAUGUACCAUGCACUGGCCCAGCUAGUGGAGACACAACCAGAUUUUAAACAGAAAUCAGAUGAGAAAAACAGAUUUUAAAAAGUAUUUCCUAAUUGAGCAAACCACAAACAUAACAGAUAAUUCAAAACAGUGAUUGUUGCAAGCAAUGUGUUUUUCCCUGCGACAAGAUUCUUUAUGUACCCCAAGUUGGCCUUGAAUUCAUCAUGAACAUCCUCCUGCUCCAGCCUUCUGAGUGCUGGAUUACAGGCAUAUACCAAGACAGUAAGUAGUAGGCAGAGGGUAAAAGAAUCGUGGUGGUACACGCCUUUAAUCCCAGCACUCGGGAGGCAGAGGCAGGCGGAUUUCUGAGUUCGAGGCCAGCCUGGUCUACAGAGUGAGUUCCAGGACAGCCAGAGAAACCCUGUCUCAAAAACCAAAAAAA